UACAGGGGGUGCAAACGUUGCUCGGAAUCAUUGGGCGUAAAGCGCACGUAGGCGGUCUGUUAUGUCGGAUGUGAAAGCCCUUGGCUCAACUGAGGAAGUGCAUCCGAAACUGGCAGGCUAGAGUACUAAAGAGGAUCGCGGAAUUCCCGGUGUAGAGGUGAAAUUCGUAGAUAUCGGGAGGAACACCAGUGGCGAAGGCGGCUCUCUGGACAGGUACUGACGCUGAGACGCGAAAGCGUGGGUAGCAAACAGG
rnacentral:rRNA from 1 species